AUCUUUUUGCAGUUUAUAAGCAUGAUGAUUAGGUGUUCACAUGUGUGUGUGAGAUGGGCCUCCCUCAAACCUUGUUACGACACUGGCAUAUUACCCAUCUGACG
ensembl:snoRNA